GAUGAAGAACGUAGCGAAAUGCGAUAAGUAAUGCGAAUUGCAGAAUUUCCGUGAGUCAUCGAAUCUUUGAACGCACAUUGCGCCCAUUGGCAUUCCGAUGGGCAUGCCUGUUCGAGCGUCAUUAUCCUCCCUCAAACCCCUGGGUUUGGUGUUGGACUGUGUGGUGCCUGGCACCACUGGUCUCAAAGACAAUGACGGCGUCCGUGGGACCCUCGGUGCAACGAGCUUUUCGAAGCACGCGUCGAGUGGACAGUCUCUCCGGGCCGGUCACCUCUCCAAUCUUUCUCAGGUUGACCUCGGAUCAGGUAGGAAUACCCGCUGAACUUAAGCAUAUCAAUAAGCGGAGGA
rnacentral:misc_RNA from 1 species